GAAAUGCGAUAAGUAAUGUGAAUUGCAGAAUUCCGUGAAUCAUCGAAUCUUUGAACGCACAUUGCGCCCUCUGUCAUUCCGGGGGGCAUGCCUGUCCGAGCGUCAUUACGCACCCUCAAGCCCGGCUUGUGUGAUGGGCCCCGGCGUCUCGUUCGCGAGACGGGCCCGAAAGGCAGCGGCGGCGUCGACCCGAUGAGCCCGAGCGUAUGGGGACUUCUGUCACACGUUCGCGGUGCGGACCGGCGCCUGCUUGACUUUUCUGAUUAUCCAGGUUGACCUCGGAUCAGGUAGGGAUACCCGCUGAACUUAAGC
rnacentral:misc_RNA from 1 species